rnacentral:rRNA from 1 species
CAAUAGCGUAUACUAAAGUUGUUGCGAUUAAAAAGCUCGUAGUUGGAUCUCAGGCAUGGGCGCACGGUCCACCUCGCGGUGGUCACUGUGUGUUUUGUUUCCCAUCCUACGCUUCCCGGUUGUUCAGCCCAUGGUGCUCUUCAUUGAGCGUUUUGGGUGGCCGGAACGUUUACUUUGAAGAAAUUAGAGUGUUCAAAGCAGGCACGUUGCCUGAAUAAUGGUGCAUGGAAUAAUGGAAUAGGACCUCGGUUCUAUUUUGCUGGUUUUCGGAACACGAGGUAAUGAUUAAGAGGGGACAGACGGGGGCAUCCGUAUUGCGGUGUUAGAGGUGAAAUUCUUGGAUCAUCGCAAGACGAACAACUGCGAAAGCAUUUGCCAAGCAUGUUUUCAUUAGUCAAGAACGAAAGUCAGAGGUUCGAAGACGAUUAGAUACCG